UCCACCCUCAAGCCCCUGCGGGCUUGGUGUUGGGGCUUCUACGGCGGGGUUCGUCCCCCGGUAGGCCCUUAAAGUCAGUGGCGGGCUCGCUAGCACUCCGGGCGUAGUAGCAUUUUACACGUCGCCUAGGGGGUCUGGCGGGCAACCUGCCGUAAAACCGCGACUGCUGUCGCACACUUUAUAGAA
rnacentral:misc_RNA from 1 species